rnacentral:lncRNA from 1 species
AUACCACCCACCCCCAUUUCUCAUUUCCCUCUCCGUAUAUAUAGAGAGCCUCUCUCUCCUCGCCUUCAACAUCUGCCUUCUUCAAACCCUUUGUUUUUCAUCUCCUACUCCACUCCAACUCUCCGACAUCCUACAUUUCGUGCCAAUCUUCAAUUUUCCCCCUCUUUCACUCCAACCAAACAGCUCUUGCCUCAUUUUUCUAACAUCUUGUAUCCCGUUUUCCUAGCAUCCAAACACCUCGCGUCUUGUUUCUGUUCCUUUAUUGUUAUAAAUUUUAUGAUGGACAACCCUGCAGGGUGGGCCAAUAAGCGAGUUAGGGAGGAGGACUCAGAUCCUGACUCUGUCGAGUCGAAGCGGAUCCGAGUUG